CCUCACUGACACGCGGCGGACUUCCAGCCAGUGCUGCGGGGGAUCACAGAGGCGGGCAGACUGGGCAAAUGGGGCUGGGCACACAAAAAGCAGCAGCCAAAGAGUCAGCUUCCCUGCUUACAGGGGACCCCGGCCACUGCCGCCAUUGAAAAGGGCCUGGGACUCCGGGACACAGAUGCUCCCUGACUUACAGGGCAGCCCCCAUCCCUACGGCCGAGGGAGGCUCCUUCUCUCCCAGUCCGGGGCACCUCGACCCACACCCCGCUAGCGGGGCGGUCACCCCACACAGGCUGCCAGCAGAGCACAAACGCUCGCGCACCCAGACCCUGAUUACAGGCGGGUGGACAACACCCCUGGAGCCACAGAGCUCGGUUUCCCCCCCAGCGGCAGGAGCAACUCUCAGCAGCCAGGCAGCGGGGCGGCACGGCCAAAGGCCGCAGUCGGGAUCCCAGCCCCGAUUCCAGGGAGGGCGCAAGCCCCACCCCGCGUCUCACGGCCCCGCGCCUCUGAAAGGCCGGGGCCACAUUCCCACCUGAGUACAGGGGGUCUCUCAGAACGCAGCUCACCAAGCACACACGGGGGGCACACACAGCCCUGCCUACAGGACGGUACCCCACACCUCACCCUCUUCAAGAAGCCCCGCGGAGCAUGAGGCUCCCGCCAACGCCUGAGCUACAGGCUGGCCCGCCCGGCAGCAGCAGAACAUCACCAACGUCUCGUCUUUGGAAGCCCAGGGAGCUACCUCGACCCACCGAGCGGGGAGGUCACCCCACACACAAACAGCACCUCAACCUGCACCCUCUGACGGGACAGGGAGGGGUCACUCCCACCAGCUGGAUGGCUAAAGCAGCCGGCUGCAACGCUGCAGCCUCCCCACACCUGAUUACAGGGCAGGCAGGCUGCUCAGGGACAGAGGGCUCCAAAGCUUGGGACACACACCCCGAGUACGGGGCCGUCGCAUUGACAAGCCACCAUCAGGCAACGAUGCCGAGGGGCCGGGGGAGGAAGAGGGGCAGGGAAACGGCACUACCCUGCUUACAGGGUGGCCUUGGGGUCCGGCGAGCUCCAUUUCCCACUCAGGUGCGGAGAGGUGGCUCUCGCCCUCCGUUACAGGGGGCCACGCUCCCCAGGCAGCCCUAGGAGCAGCAAGGCAAAAGGCCAACUACAGCAAAGACCCGAGCCCCGCUUACGGGGAGGUCGCCCAGCACAACGCCAGCCUGGUCACCAAAGGCGCCGGCAGCUCUCAACUCAAACGUGACUGUGCCCCUGCUAACGGGACAGGUGCUUUGCCCAGGGAGCCUCUCUCCUUCCCC
ensembl:lncRNA